ensembl:misc_RNA Metazoa_SRP Metazoan signal recognition particle RNA
GCUGGGCGUGGUGGUGCAUGCCUGUAAUUCCAGCUACUUGGGAAGCUGAGGCAGUAGAAUCACUUGAACCCAGGAGGCAGAGGUUUCAGUGAGCCGAGAUCUUGCCACUGCAUGCCAGCCUGGGUGACAGAGUGAGACUCUGUCUCAA